rnacentral:tRNA from 2 species
GCCUGCGUAGCUCAGGGGCAGAGCACGUCAUUGGUAAUGACGAGGUCGCCGGUUCAAUUCCGGCCGUAGGCU